rnacentral:lncRNA from 1 species
GAAGCGGAGGACGUGUCUUCUGAUGAUUCCCUGAGCUCGGAUUCUGAUGAUGAGGCUGGUAAGGGGAAUGGUUGGAACGCCUUUAGACUGCCCAAUUCCUCCAAAGCUGCUUCACCAGCAGAAGGUGAGAGCUUUUGAUCCGUGAAUCACUUCGCAUUUGUGUGUUUCACUCGUGGGUAGGUAAUGAGCUGAUAUGGUUGAUUGCUGAUUUACUGUGAUUGUUGAAGUUUGUUCGUGUACAUAUCAGCUCACAUGAAGACUGUUUGUUCAACAGUUUGUUCACAUAGGUCAUAGGCUUUAUAUUUGCCACGUGUACAUGAAUGCUUCUUUUCUGAACCACCUAUGAAGACUGUUGUGCGUUCAAAUUGAAUGUAGAAGAAAUAAUAAAGCAAGUUGUUGGAGAGACGUGCUUAGUUGAUAUCUGUUUGCCUUACAAAACUAGGUGUGCUUGCAAACAGAUUGAACAGGUAUCACUCUAAGAAAUUGAGUGAAGUCUAUGAUAUCUUGUUUACCUUUAGCUAUCUCUAUUUCAAUGAAGAAUUGUCAGCUUGUCCUGUGUAAUCUUGUCCUCAAGUUAUUUGGAUUGAAGUUUUGAGUUUCCCAAACUGAUGGUUGCAUAUUAAUACAGUUGCAGCUUGGAUUUUCUUGGAACCAUUAGGUUUUCCUUUUCUUUUUUUUUUUCAGAUUGUGAUAGCACUAAAUUGGCUCUCUUAGCUGACCCCAAGUUCUCACUCUCAGCUGGUUUACUACUGUAGCUGCAGAUUUACUAGCCAAUAUAUUCAGGAAAUUUGUUUCUGGAUCUUUCCAAGUAUGAGUUUGUGCAAAUAAGCAAUGCACUUUUAGAUAUAGUUGUGGUUUGUAUUAUUGCAUCUUUUGUUUUUUGCAAUUAUAGCCAAAUAACAACUCUCAAUGCAUUUCUUGCAACUAAGUAUUAAAUUUGAGAUUUAGAAAUGUUCGUUGGGGAAAGAAACUAGUGUUUCUUAACUGGGCACCUCUGAGACAUGGACUGAGCUGUUGCAGAUCCUCAGGAAUGGUCUUUCUAAUGUAGUAAUGGGAUCAUGCAGGUGCUCUGAUCAGGAGGGCCGAAAUGUAUCAACAUUACAUGAAGCACAUUCCGGUUCCUGCUUACCGUGAUUCCCUAAUCCCAUUCACAUCAUGGAUGGGACUUGCCAGAUCACUGAAGCAGUUGUACAAACAACCCUUGCAUUACCUCACUAAUGUCCUAUUGAAAAGGUGGGAUCAGCAAAGGAUUGGGAGUGAUGAUGAGCAUCGGCGUCUAGACGCCGUUGUCCACCCUGUGAGAGCUGAGACCCUAAUUUGGGCUACUGAAGAAGUCCAUAGGUUGACCACCUCUGGUCGGCACUUAGCUAGUCUUUGGGCAUCGGAUCCCUUGUAUCAUGCUUACAUAGAUCCAGUGUUCCCUUCCAUAAAGUUGGAUUAGCAAACAAGUUGGGCCUUUUUAUUUUGUCUAUUUUGGUACUGUUGAAGCCGACACAGUUUUAUUUGCUAAAUAGCAAGUACCAACAGUAAAUAUGAACUCCAGAUGAUUGUUGUUCUAAGUAUGAUAACUCAUUGUUAGGGUUUAAUUUAACAUUGAUUUUAGCUCUUGAACAGUAGCCGUGUCAAAGAGGAAGAAAACUGGUGGUGUGGAUUUCAGUGCUUUGAGCAGGCAUGGAUACCGCGGUGGUCCAUCUGUCCUGACAGUUCGUCCCCAGGAGGAAUCUAAUUGGUCAUGGUCCACUGGAAAAGAUCGUGAUGACAAAGAAGAUGCGCCUGAGUCCUAUGAAGAACGGGAGCGUACAAGGGCUGCAGUAACUGAAGGAGAGAAGCUUAUCGGUGUGCAGAAUGCACCGCUGAACCAGUUACUAUUAGAGAAAGACCAUAAGAAUGCUUCCUUCUCGCAGAAGGAGAAGCGGAAGAGGGAUCGGGGGCAGGCCAGCAGAGGGAAGAACUACGUCGAGGAGGAGAAACGGCUCCUGAGGGGGAGUGGCGUUUACUCUGGCUUUGAUAUUUGAAAGUAAACUGCUAUGAAUGCAGUGAGACUUCUAACAUGUCUGCCUACAGAGGAUUAAUCCUUGGUUUUAAGCUUCAUCGUGUGCUUUGGCUGCUGUUGUGUCGCUAGUAAAAUAGUUGUGUCUCUGAGUGUAGGGCUGGUUAGCGUUGAGCUUCCUGUGAUGUGGGACUUAAGUUUGGACUUUGGAUAUGCGUAUAUAUUGCUACUCAAAUGAUACUGCAGCGAUCUAUAUGUAUUUCAUGCCCUGCUGUUUCCUUUGACGGUUGUUGGACGGCAUUUCAGAGUUGUGACAAUGAUGGAUAUAAAUUAGGAAAUGACAAUCUCUCUAUCUGCCUCUGAACAUAUUUGCUCCUAACUAGAAGGCAGACCGUCUUUAUAUAAUUAUUGCAUAGUAUUAGCAUGGUUUGAUCAGUGAGUAGUAUUUUUUUAAUCAUGCAAUCUUUCACAACUGAUACUUGAUUGUUUUUGGGAGUGGCCAUUGACUAGCAUGUACUUGAUUGACAACUGAUACUUGCUAAUCUCCAACAACAACUGAUACUUUCUUGCUAAUCUCCAACGAUGGACGCUUUCAGUGCAUGGUGGAGCAUGUGAAACCAUGGAGUACUUUUGUAGUGACAUGAUGUAGUUGUACUACUUAUCAACUUGGCUUUCUCCAAUGUCUCAUGAUUGAUGCAGUUAUAUUACUUGUCUACUUUCUUCAGUGUCAGAUGAUCGACAGACCUUGUAAGAGAAGAUAAGUUUACCUAUUACGUGAUAGGGUAUGUUAGUAGCACACCAUUUAUAACUGGACGCCGGCCGCUCAUGCAGUUUUUGUGCAUAUGAGAAGCUAAGCUUGUGUGCUCUUCAUGCAGUUUUUGUGCAGAUGAGAAGCUAAGCUUGUGUGUUUUCAUGUGUUUGGUUUGGCUCCCUUCCCGUUCCAAGCUGCGCUGCUGCUGACAGCUCGCACUGCAUUCCACAUUGCCAUCGCAGCUUGUUACUGGGUUGGCAACUGGAAAUGGGAGCGCUUGCGAGAAAUUGUUGCAGGCAUCAGCACAGCUCAUUGCUGCAUUUCUUGGAUGCUAUAUUUUCAAAAUCCAGUAUUUGAUUUGCCACUGCAGAAGAAAGGGAGAGUACUGUAUCUCGAAUUCUCCAUAUAUACAUAGCAAUAACUGUAAUUGGGAAUGCAUACUCCCACCCGGCACAACGCAAGUAUCCGCUUUGAAAAGACGCAGAAUGGUAAGCAGCAUUGUAAGUCUUUUUUAUGUUUAUAGCUGCAACCAUCGUUUCUUUACUUAAGACUCAGUUACAACCGCUGCCGUCUUAUCUGUACGUACCUCAUGUCAUGAUGUAUCCCUCCUCAACAUAGAUGGAUGUCGAUUGUGAAUGCCUGAAUGGCUGAAUCCCCUACCUUCCCUGAACGGGUUCGCCAGGAUCAGCUUGUAACAGACACAUGGCCUUUUCAAUGUCAGAGUUUUGUUAGUAUAGUUUGUUCAGUGAGUGGAUGGUUUACCAUGCUGUCUCUCACAUUAUCUUGGAAUCAAGAUCAUAAU